GUGGUCACUUUGGCAGCAUAUUUACUAGUAUCAGAAUAACACAGAGAAGAUUAGCAUGGACCCUGUGCAAGGAGACAACACAAUUCAUAAAGCAUUUCAUAUUUUU
ensembl:snRNA U6 U6 spliceosomal RNA